rnacentral:rRNA from 1 species
UACAGAGGGUGCGAGCGUUAUUCAUAGUUACUGGGCGUAAAGCGCUUGUAGGCGGUCCACCAAGUUUGGGGUGACAGUUGCCGACUUAAUCGGCAAAGUGCCUCAAAGACUGGCGGACUUGAGGGCCACAGAGGGACAUGGAACUCCAGGUGUAGUGGUGAAAUGCGUAGAUAUCUGGAAGAACACCAAAGGCGAAGGCAGUGUCCUGGGUGGUCGCUGACGCUGAGAGGCGAAAGCCAGGGGAGCGAACGGG